UACGAAGGGAGUUAGUGUUAUUCGGAAUUAUUGGGUGUAAAGAGUACGUAGGCUGUUAAUUAAGUUAGAAGUGCAAUCCCAAAGCUCAACUUUGGAACUGCUUCUAAAACUGAUUGGCUAGAGUUAAAGAGAGGGUGGUAGAAUUUCUAGUGUAGAGAUACAAUUCGUAAAUAUUAGAAGGAAUACCAGAGGCGAAGGCGACCACCUGGCUUUAUUAUACUGACGCUGAGGUACGAAAGCAUGGGGAGCAAACAGG
rnacentral:rRNA from 1 species